CUUCCCUGGGGUGGAGGGUGCUCACUGUUUGCACUCCUUGUCAUUUGCAUUCUCAUCCAAUUAACACAAAAAGGACCGUUUUCAAUUCCUAGCACAUUCUGGGCCUUUAUUCUCCUCUGGCAGUUCUCCUCCAGAAAUUCUUCUUUGUGUGGGAAGUGGGCAUUUGUAAAUCAGUGGGAGUUUUGCCUGAAAGCAAACAGCAAAAGGAGAGCCCGCAGUGCCUGUGGAUUUAUUGGGAUCUGGUACAAAGAAGCAGAGACCAUGCCACCCAAGGUCCAACACAGCAUCCUAGGAUGCUCUUCCUCAGGUCAUGGACCCGUGAAGACCAUUGCCACCUGCUUGCUGAAGCAGAGCUGGGUGCGCACAUCUGAAAGUAAGUACUCAAGGAUUUCUAACCUCUGAUGGACACUGUGUCCACUAACUACACUCACAUGUAAUGAAAUCACAGAUUAAAUGUUUUCUUCUGUGAUGACAGAAAUAAUGAGCAACUAUUUAGCUGUUUGUUUUAUCAAUGUAUCAGCAGGUCUCCUGACUGAAAUUCUUUAUUUAUUUAUUUAUUUAUUUAUUUAUUUAUUUAUUUAUUUAUUUAUUUAUUUAUGAUAGGCACACAGUGAGAGAGAGAGAGGCAGAGACACAGGCAGAGGGAGAAGCAGGCUCCAUGCACCGAGAGCCCGACGCGGGACUCGAUCCCGGGUCUCCAGGAUCGCACCCUGGGCCAAAGGCAGGCGCCAAACCGCUGCGCCACCCAGGGAUCCCCUCCUGACUGAAAUUCUUAAACUCCAUCCUUUCCCAACAUCAAUGGUAGCUUGCUGCCCACCCCCCCACACUACCUGUUUCUUCACCUAAUGAAGUUAAUUAACCAUUGUUCUUCCCGUCCCUAAGGAUGUCUGCAAGCCUACAGGCAGACGGCCUAGGAAGAAACCCGGCUGUUGAGAAGAAAGUGAAAGCUCCUUCCACAUAUCUUUUUGAACAUUGUGAACAAGCAUUACAUGAAUCACCCCAAAUUUAUCAGCUCUGGCCUAUCAUCAAAGAAGAAGAAAGAUGUUUAAUGGGGUGGUGAAUCUUUGUAAGUCCAGUAGCUCCUUUGAGAAAAAAAACAAAACAAAAACCAAAAAACCUCACAUUUCCUGCUACCAUAGAAACCAUCUCCUUCAAGUGAAUUGUAAAUAUAAAAAGGGCCCUCUGGCUUCAUGUUUAUAUUAAUAUGAGUAUUCCUUUUUUUUUAAUAUGGAGAAGUAUGCCUUAUUUCUCUUUAAGGUGUCUGGUCUGUUGAUCUUAUUCUCGUCGAGUCUGAUGAUAGUCACUAGGGAGACUUAAGUCCAUCUUUCUG
rnacentral:lncRNA from 12 species